rnacentral:lncRNA from 11 species
AUGUUCUCCCACAGUGAGGACAUUGGUUUCCAUCUGGCAACACUGAUGAUGUCCAAGACUGUUGCCAUCAUGUCAACAUGGUGGAGCCGCAGCAUGUUAACAAAUUUGCCAGGGCAGCUGAUUUUUUGGAAAAUGGUCCAGAGAGCACCACGAUUCACUGUGUCAAAAGCUUUUGCGAGUUCAGUGAAUGUCAUGUACAGAGGUUGGUUUUGUUCCCUGCAUUUUUCUUGGAGCUGUCAUGCAGAAAAUAUCAUAUCCACUGUUCCCAGAAGACUUAAAAGAUGCCACCAUCAUCACCCCUUUCAAAAAAGGGGAAAGAACAGAACGUGGAAACUAUCAAGACCACCAAGAAGGGAAUCUGGCUUACCUGGGCUUCUGCAUGUUGAACAGGAACAUCCACAGCAUCCUUUAAAAACAAAAAAACAAAACAGGAGACAAAAGGAAUUAAACUUGACAUGGGUUAAAUGAAUUGUCUGUCAUAAAAGAGAUUGAGUUCUUUAAAGAAGUAAAAAAAAGUCAUUUAAUGGAGGUAAUGUUUAGGAGAGAUCUGCUUUUCAUGAUUCUGUUUCAUACAACAGAUGUACAUUUUUUUGGCCAUUAGAAUGGUUUUUCUUAAAGAAUAAAGCUACUCAAGAAGAAAAGUUGUUACGUGCUCCAAAUAGAGUUUUAUAAUAACAAUACCACUAUUGAAAUUAGGAGGUAUAUUUUAGUCUAUCUAAUCUCAAGGAAAGAUUCUAACAAUGAAAACCUGAUGAUAUUCUGAAACAAGGAUUAAACCCUAGCUAGUGGAAAGGCGUGUUUCCAUUGUGGGAAACAUAAUGGAAGUACCGAUAAAAUGCUUCCACAAAACAUCUAAUUUUUCUGAAUCCUUUCAUUUUUCUUGUCUUUUGUUGCUAAUAUUGGUCACAAAAUCCAACAGUGGUUUCUUAAAGACACAUAAAUGAGAAACAGAAUUAAUGCAUCAGCUGAAAGAGAAUCAUGGUUGCAAAAGUUCCUUUUUUAGUCUACAACUCCGUACCAGUAUUAGAAGUGUGUUAAUGUGUGAGGUGAUUCUAUCAAAUAAUAAAUGUUGACACAUAUUUUUUCCAAAUAAAUAGAAAAUUCUAAUAAUUUGCAAUGAUAAGCUGAAUGACUGAAAAUCUCCAAAUGUAACAAACAUAUUUACCUUCUGUGCCUUGUCAUCACUUCCAUCAGAAGAAAAAGUUUCCUAAAAACAAAGAUCAAAUACUGAUGUAUGGAAAAUCACAUUUUACCAUUUCUUCAAUAUGUUGUUUUCCCCAUUUUUAGUUCAGUAAGGAAUAAGGCUGUUUUCUGCUGCCCUGGAGACAAGGAUUAGGAGCAAUACAGGAAAGGAGAUUCCACCCUAACAUUAGGAAGAACUUCCUGACUGUGAGAACUGUUCAACAGUGGAACGUUCUGCCUCGUAUUGUGGUGGAAGCUCCUUCCUUGGAGGCUGGAUGGCCAUCUGUCGGGGGUGCUUUGAUUGUGCUUUUCCUACAUGGCAGGGGGUUGGACUAGAUGGCCCAUGUGUUCUUUCCCAACUCUAUUAUUCUAUGAUUCUAAGAAAACUUUACAUACUUCUUUGGUUGCUUCUUCACCUUUAACCUGGUCAGAAAGACUGCCCUGAAAAGAAAUAUCAAGGUCUUGACUGUGGUAAAUAAUUGUUUCCUCAUUUUCAUACAAUUUUAUUUUUCUCACAUUAAUUCAAUGAGGCCUAAGGAAACGGUGAGCUAGCUAGUGUUUUGAGUGUUGAAUUAUGAUUCCGGAGAGCAGGUUUGAUUCCUCUUUCCGCCACAGAAACCUACUAGCUGACUUUGGCCAAAUCAGGCCCCAUCUGCAUUAUCACAAUCCAGUAUCUGUUUUGAACUGGAUUAUAAGGUAGUGUAGACUCUGAUAAUCUAAUUUAAAGCAGAUAAUCUGGAUUCUGAAACUGGAAUAUAUGGUAGCGUAGAUCCAGCCUUAUCCCCAGAAAAUCCCAUGACAGGGUUGCCACAGUCAGAAAUUACUUGAAGGCAUACAAUGACAGCAAAGAAAGUUCUAUAAGCCAGUUUACGUAAUGGUUAUUGUGAAUUUCUCUUGAGUUUCUUACUGGGAGAGAGGUAGGAUAACAAAUCAGGAAAGAAACAAAUGUAUCUUCCCUAGCAAGUGAAAGCCUUGAUUCUAUUAGAAACAUUGCUACUUUACUAUCAAUCAUUGUGCAAUUUACGGAAUUAAAAUAUAUGAUAAAUUAAACACCUUUUAAAGUUCUAAAUGCACUCAAGGAUAUAUUUACCGCUCGUGCUUUGGCAUCACUGUUCACGAAAUGAGAACCCUCCUGAAAACCAAAAUCAAGUAUUAACAUCUGAAAACUCGGAUGUUAUCCUUCCUUGGCUAUGUUGCCUUUCCUAUGGUAGUUCCAACAGAUGGAAAAGUUAAAGAAUGAUUAAUCUCAGUACUCACAAUAUAGAGAAUAACUAUUUUCUUUUUAAACAAAGCUCUUCCAUUGGGUGAACUGCAUACAAGAAUAAGUAUUAUUAUUAUACUCAGUGUGGUAGUCAGUACUCAUAUGUGAACCAUCAGCUGCUAGUUAGUUACUUGUCUAUCUAAUCUCAAGCAAAGCUGCUAACAAUAACAACCUGAUGAUAUUUUGAAAACCAGAAUUAAACACCAAUAAGUGGAAAAACAUAUUUUCAUUGUUGGAAGCAUAAAGGUGGUAUUGAUAAAAUGCUUCCACAAAACAUCUAUUUUUCUUAAUCCUUUCAUUUUUCUGAAUGAUUCCUUAGGCCAAUCAUUCAAAGUCAGCGAGAGGCCUAUUUUGGUAGUGCUUUGAGUUCAUGUCUUUCAUAAUUAGAUUGGUCACAGCAUCCAACAGUGUGUUAAUGUGUGAAGUGAUUCUAUCAAAGCAUAAAUGUUGACAUACAUAUUUUUCUAAAUAAAUCAAAAAUCAAAAAAUUGCAAUGAUAAGCUGAAUGACUGGAAAUGUAGCAAACAUUUUUACCUUCUGUGCCUUGUCAUCAUUUCCAUCGGAAGAAUAAAAUUCCUAAAAACAAAAGAUCAAACAAGGGUGUAUAGAAUACCACAUUUUGCAAUUUGUUUAGGAUGUUGUUUUCCCCCAAUUUUAAUUCAGUAAGGAAUGGGGCAUUUUCUGCUACCCUGGGGAUGAUGAUUGGGAGCAAUACAAGAAAGGAGAUUCCACCUGAACAUUAGGAAAAACUUCCUGACUGUGAGAGCUGGUCAGCAGUGGAAGUCUCUGCCUCAGAGUGUGGUGUAGGCUCCUUCCCUGGAAGCUUUUAUACAGAGGCUAGAUGGCCAUCUGUCGGGGGUGCUUUGAUUUGCUUUUCCUGCAUGGCAGGGGGUUGGACUAGAUAGCCCAUGUGCUCUCUCCCAACUCUAUUUUGUUGGGAUUUAUCACAACAUCCAACCGUGGUUUCUUAAAGACACACAAAUGAGAAACAGUUUUAAUGCAUCAGCUGAAAGAGACUCAUGGUUACAAAAGUUCCUUUUUUAGACUACAACUCCAUACCAGUAUUAGAAGUGUGUUAAUGUGUGAAGUGAUUCUAUCAAAUCAUAAAUGUUGACACAUAUUUUUUUCCAAAUAAAUCAAAAAUUCCAAUAAUUUGCAAUGAUAAGCUGAAUAACUGAAAAUCCCCAAAUGUAGCAAACAUUUUUACCUUCUGUGCUUUGUCAUCACUUCCAUCGGAAGAAAAAGUUUCCUAAAAACAAAGAUCAAAUACUGAUGUAUGGAAAAUCACAUUUUACCAUUUCUUCAAUAUGUUGUUUUCCCCAUUUUUAGUUCAGUAAGGAAUAAGGCUGUUUUCUGCUACCCUGGAGACGAGGAUUAGGAGCAAUACAGGAAAGGAGAUUCCACCCUAACAUUAGGAAGAACUUCCUGACUGUGAGAACUGUUCAACAGUGGAACUUUCUGCCUCGUAUUGUGGUGGAAGCUCCUUCCUUGAAGGCUGGAUGGCCAUCUGUCGGGGGUGCUUUGAUUGUGCUUUUCCUACAUGGCAGAGGGUUGGACUAGAUGGCCCAUGUGGUCUUUCCCAACUCUAUUAUUCUAUGAUUCUAAGAAAAUUUUACGUACUUCUUUGGUUGCUUCUUCACCUUUAACCUGAUCAGAAAGACCGCCCUGAAAAGAAAUAUCAAGGUCUUGACUGUGGUAAAUCAUUGUUUUAUCAUUUCAAUACAAUUUUGCAUUUCUCAGAUCAUCUCAAAGGGGCCUAAGGAAACUGUGAGCUAGUGUUUUGAAUUUUGGGCUAUGACUCCAGAGUCCAGGAGAUGAUUCCUCCCUCAGCGGCUGAAACCCCCUGGCUCAUUUGGCUGAAUCAGGCCCCAUCUACACGAUCAUAUAAUCCAGUUUUUGAAUCCAGGUUAUCUGAAUUGAACUGUAUUAUAUGGUUGUGUAGACUCAUAUAAUCCACUUCAAAGCCGAUAGUAGUGUAGACUACCAUAUAGUUCAAAGCAGAUAAUCUGGAUUCGAAACUGGAUUAUAUGGCAGCGUAGAUCCAGCCUCAUCCCCAGAAAAUCCUGUGGCACGGUUGCCAUAGUCAGAAAUCACUUGAAGGCACACGACGACAGCAAAGAAAGUUUAUAUACCAGCUUAUAUAAUGGUUGUGAAUUUCUGUUUAGUUUCUUACUGGGAGAGAGAUGGGAUAACAACUAAAGAAACAAAUACAUCCUCCCUAG